rnacentral:lncRNA from 10 species
AUGGUCACGUGAGCUGGCAUAUGAGAGUGCUCUGUGAGCCUCAGUGCCUUCAGUGGCAUCAUUGCACUGUGACUGUGCAGGUCCCAAACAGUAUGGACAUGAAUGUCCUCAAGCUGCAUGUUAGCAGGGCUUCUAAUUCCAUCUGCAAGUGAUAGUGUGUGGAGCUUAGUUGCACAGAGCGCAUGUUACUGGAGGAGAUAUGGGUCUGUGUCAUCCUGCAUGGGAAUGAUCCUAAAAACAAAGUGAUCAGUGACUGCUCAGGACUGUGGAAAGGUCACUUGGAGCAGUGGGAAAAGAUAAAGCAAUACCUGCCCUGUCUUCCUAACCUUGGAGGGGUCAAAAAAGUGAUGGGUGUGAAAGCAUUUUGUAAACUGUAGUGCAAGCAUACGGCAGGGGAGUGAACCAUACUUUCA